GACGAACGCUGGCGGCGUGCUUAACACAUGCAAGUCGAGCGGAGCGGCGAACGGGUGAGUAACGCGUGAGUAACUGACACCCUAUCUGGGAUAACAGUUGGAAAAGGCUGCUAAUACCGGAUAGUGGGGGAUGACUCGCGUCCUAUCCGCUUGUUGGUGGGGUAGUGGCCUACCAAGGCGACGACGGGCAGCCGGCCUGAGAGGGCGACCGGCCACAUUGGGAUUCGAUACGGCCCAAACUCCUACGGGAGGCAGCAGUGGGGAAUAUUGCACAAUGGGGGAAACCCUGAUGCAGAAACGCCGCGUGCGGGAUGACGGCCUUCUGGUUGUAAACCGCUUUCAUCCAUGACGCGGUAGUGGCAGAAGAAGCACCGGCUAACUACGUGCCAGCAGCCGCGGUAAUUC
rnacentral:rRNA from 1 species